rnacentral:rRNA from 1 species
CCUACGGGUGGCAGCAGUGGGGGAUAUUGCACAAUGGAGGAAACUCUGAUGCAGCGACGCCGCGUGAGUGAAGACGGUAUUCGUAUUGUAAAGCUCUGUCAGCAGGGAAGAAAAUGACGGUACCUGAGGAAGAAGCCCCGGCUAACUACGUGCCAGCAGCCGCGGUAAUACGUAGGGGGCGAGCGUUGUCCGGAUUUAUUGGGUUUAAAGGGGGCGUAGGCUGGGGGGUAAGUCAGCUGUGAAAUGCCCACGCGCAACUGGGGGAAGCGCCCUUGAUACUGCCUGGCUGGAGUGCGGAUGGGGCAGGAGGAAUGUGUGGUGUAGCGGUGAAAUGCAUAGAUAUCACACGGAACACCGAUUGCGAAGGCAUCUCACGAAUCCGCGAUUGACGCUGAUGCACGAAAGCGUGGGUAUCAAACAGGAUUAGAUACCCGGGUAGUC